rnacentral:rRNA from 1 species
UCGGCAAUGGACGAAAGUCUGACCGAGCGACGCCGCGUGUGGGAUGAAGGUCUUCGGAUUGUAAACCACUGUCGAGGGGGAUUAAGGGAAACUUGAAAGAACCCUGGAGGAAGGGGAGGCUAAGCUCGUGCCAGCAGCCGCGGUAAGACGAGCUCCCCAAACGUUAUUCGGUAUUACUGGGCUUAAAGAGUUCGUAGGCGGCGAAGUAGGUGAGGUGUGAAAGCCCUCGGCUCAACCGAGGAACUGCGCUUCAAACCACUUUGCUAGAGGGAGAUAGGGGUAAGCGGAACUCAAGGUGGAGCGGUGAAAUGCGUUGAUAUCUUGAGGAACACCGGUGGCGAAGGCGGCUUACUGGGUCUUUUCUGACGCUGAGGCACGAAAGCUAAGGUAGCAAACGGGAUUAGAUACCCCGGUAGUCUUAGCUGUAAACGAUGAGCACUUGUUUGAAGGGUCCUCCAUAGCCUUUCAGACGUAGCGAAAGUGUUAAGUGCUCCGCCUGGGGAGUAUGGUCGCAAGGCUGAAACUCAAAGA